rnacentral:rRNA from 1 species
UACGAAGGGGGCUAGCGUUGCUCGGAAUCACUGGGCGUAAAGCGCACGUAGGCGGAUCUUUAAGUCAGGGGUGAAAUCCUGGAGCUCAACUCCAGAACUGCCUUUGAUACUGGGGAUCUCGAGUCCGGGAGAGGUGAGUGGAACUGCGAGUGUAGAGGUGAAAUUCGUAGAUAUUCGCAAGAACACCAGUGGCGAAAGCGGCUCACUGGCCCGGUACUGACGCUGAGGUGCGAAAGCGUGGGGAGCAAACAGG